GGAAGAAAGCAAAAGCAGGAGUAAUCUGAAUGGGGACAGGCGUAUAGUGCAUCAGCAGGAUACACACCUAGGAAUCAGGGAGUCUGUUUCAAAAGUCCACCAUGGAAUGCCCUUGCAAAACAACAAAGGGAGGAGAGGACCCAUGCAGUAACCAAAAAGUUACAAAAAAAUUCAUGUGAAGCCCAGUCGUCCUACAACAAUAAAUCCUCAUUUAGCAAUCCUUGAAGAAUGAGUGUAUCAAGAAAGUUAGAUAUCUUUUCACAGCAAGAGUUAAAAUUAAAAUUAAAAUGAAAUGAAUAUAGAUUCUGCUGGAGAGGUGCUGCAAGUGUACCCUUCACCCACCGGGGCUGCUGUGGCACCAGAAGAGAGGACAGCCAGCCGGCAGAGAGGCUGCAUUCCUCACAAUAGGGCCAGUGGUAAUCUAAAGCACAACUAAUCUCCUGGGGGAGCUGGCCAGGUGGAGGAGCUUGGAGAUGGAUCACAGGCACAAGACCUGGGAGCAGGAAGCCCUCACCAGGACAAGCCCCACAGAUAAUGUG